AUUGAACGCUGGCGGCAGGCUUAACACAUGCAAGUCGAGCGGAGAUGAGGUGCUUGCACCUCUUGAGAGCGGCGGACGGGUGAGUAAUGCCUAGGAAUCUGCCUGGUAGUGGGGGAUAACGUCCGGAAACGGACGCUAAUACCGCAUACGUCCUACGGGAGAAAGCAGGGGACCUUCGGGCCUUGCGCUAUCAAAUGAGCCUAGGUCGGAUUAGCUAGUUGGUGAGGUAAUGGCUCACCAAGGCGACGAUCCGUAACUGGUCUGAGAGGAUGAUCAGUCACACUGGAACUGAGACACGGUCCAGACUCCUACGGGAGGCAGCAGUGGGGAAUAUUGGACAAUGGGCGAAAGCCUGAUCCAGCCAUGCCGCGUGUGUGAAGAAGGUCUUCGGAUUGUAAAGCACUUUAAGUUGGGAGGAAGGGUUGUAGAUUAAUACUCUGCAAUUUUGACGUUACCGACAGAAUAAGCACCGGCUAACUCUGUGCCAGCAGCCGCCGUAAUAC
rnacentral:rRNA from 1 species